rnacentral:misc_RNA from 1 species
GAUGAAUAACGCAUCGAAAUGCGAUAAGUAAUGUGAAUUGCAGAAUUCAGUGAAUCAUCGAAUCUUUGAACGCACAUUGCGCCCGCCAGUAUUCUGGCGGGCAUGCCUGUUCGAGCGUCAUUUCAACCAUCAAGCCCCCGGCUUGUGUUGGGGACCUGCGGCUGCCGCAGGCCCUGAAAAGCAGUGGCGGGCUCGCUGUCACACCGAGCGUAGUAGCAUACAUCUCGCUCUGGGCGUGCUGCGGGUUCCGGCCGUUAAACCACCUUCAUAACCCAAGGUUGACCUCGGAUCAGGUAGGAAGACCCGCUGAACUUAAGCAUAUCAAUAAGCGGAGGA